CUUCUCUAUAAUAUUUGCUACUGUUAGUGUUGUUGUUGUUGCUGUUCACUUUCUAACAAGGUUGAUAGCGUGAAUCUAGCUUCAGAGAUGUCCAACUUGUCACUUUGUUUGACCUUGGUUGCACUGGUAUUUAUCAUUGCCGCCAGAGACGUCUCUUGUAAAAAGAACAAACAUUAUCCGAAAACGAAAUGGAUCGAUUGUGAGGAAUUCUGCAAGGUAUUUUGUGACCCAAACAUGCACGUCUACGACAAGGCGGACUAUAAUGGUUGUGUGUCCCACUGCAAGCGAAAUGGUCUCCCUCGUAAAAUGGAAAAUGGAAACGUUUACUGCAAAUUCCGAAAACAAAAAAAGGAGUAAUGUUUCUUUUAAUGUUAGAACGGUAAUUUUUCCGAAAAUUUCAAUCUUAUAUUUUUUCUGUAUCAGCAUCAGAAUAAAUACGCCAUGUUAGAAUGAAGCAUUGAAA